rnacentral:rRNA from 1 species
UACGUAGGGUGCGAGCGUUGUCCGGAAUCAUUGGGCGUAAAGAGCUCGUAGGCGGCCUGUCGCGUCGGAUGUGAAAACCCGGGGCUCAACCUCGGGCCUGCAUUCGAUACGGGCAGGCUGGAGUUCGGCAGGGGAGACUGGAAUUCCUGGUGUAGCGGUGAAAUGCGCAGAUAUCAGGAGGAACACCGGUGGCGAAGGCGGGUCUCUGGGCCGGUACCGACGCUGAGGAGCGAAAGCGUGGGGAGCGAACAGG